rnacentral:rRNA from 1 species
AUGUCCUCAUCGGCCAUGUCGAGCGAUGGCGAACCAACCGUCGCCGUGAAGCUGUUCAUCGACAAGGAGAAGAAAAAGGUGCUGUUUGCGGAAUCCAACAAGGACUUCGUCGACGUCCUCUUCAGCUUCCUCACCCUGCCUCUUGGCACCAUCGUCCGUCUCUUCGACAAGCAGUCGCAGGUAGGAUGCCUCGACGAGCUGUACAAGAGCGUGGAGGUCCUCGGCCCGGACCACUUCCAGACCAAGGCGUGCAAGGCCAUGCUUCUAAGCCCCCUCAAUGCUGCAGCAAUCCGUUGCAAUCGGCUUAAAGUGAAAGUUGUCGACAAAAACCCAAUGUAUCGCUGCAAAAAUACUAGCUGCGGGCAUUCAACAUUCAGCUCUGUCCCUGAUGCUAUUUGCAGUUGUGGACAUGUUGUUGAGUACAUCGGGGAAUGGACGAACAAGAAAUGUUAUCCUCCUGUUGCUGCAGACAAGGAGGAUGCAGUUUUUGUCAUUGGCGUUGCGAAGUUCAUCGUAACGGAUGAUCUCCAAGUUGCUCCUGCCUCCACAAGAGUAAUGUUUUCCCUGAUUGAAAAAUACGGUAUACCGGAAAAAGUGAACAUUCAGGAGAAGGUGCUCCAGCUCAAUUCUGCCAAGAUGAUUGGUUUAUUCAGGAGAGCGCUGCUGACGAAGCAAGUCUUAACCGGACUUUAUUUUGAUGUUGCUAUCCCGCCAAAUGCUGCAGACAUGUGUGUGCUCCCUGACAAUAUGUUUGCAAAACAGGCACUUGAGACCGAUCCCAAAUUCAAAGCCAUCAAGAUAAGGCUUGUUCAUGCAAAGGAUGAUUCAGUGCUGUAUGCUGAAGUUGGGCAAGAUUUCGUUGAUCUAGUCUUUGGAAUCCUCACCACUCCACUUGGAACCAUGCUCAAGACUUUCACCGAGUUACCUCGGAUCGGAUGUAUUGGUAGUAUCUACAAGAGUGUAGUUGCUAGUGUGAAACAGGAAUGUCAAGGCUUACUCCUGUCCCCAAAUCUAGCGCCCUUCUUUGGGUGCAGUAGUAAUGUGCUGCAAGUAGAAGAAUUAGUUCGUCGAUGCCUUUGGAUUGGAUCCACUUGCUGUAUUGAGCUAAACCCCAAAUCCACUAGUGAUAGAGCCUAUAUCAAGGGUGGGCCCAUGAACUUCAUGGUGACCGACGACCUCCAGGGAUAUUCUGCUUGA